rnacentral:lncRNA from 1 species
UAAGGUUGCAUAACUUUCUUUGUUACAAAUCUAUUGUUAGUUGAUUUCUUAAUCAUCUUCAAUACUUUGCAUCAAUGAUAAGCUAUCCCUUAAUGUGUCAUAUUUUAAGUCGUUUUGGCCUAAGAAAAUAGUCUUAAAAAAUAUUCAUUUUUGUACAUGGUACUAACCACUAAUUAUACUUCAUUAAUUUUGUUUAGCAUUAACCUUUGUUA